ACAGAGUGUUUUAGUCAGUGAACAGAGUUAAUUGUGUUGACAUAAUGGAUUUAUUGUUUCAACAGAACGCCUGUCUGUUUUCACACAGUGGAUAAGGGACUUGACAAAACUAAUGCUGAUACCAGGGGAUUCUUAUAAAGCUGAAUUAUCAGCCUGAUAAAACGCCUCUGGUGUAAGAGACAGCAGGAAGGAAAACACACAGUCUGUGAGGCAGAGGCAAGGAAGCAGGACCCAAAGGAUGCAAAAUUCCCUUUCAGUGGAGUUUUGUGUUCCUGCUUGCAAAGGAAUAUCAGUCUCUGUAUCAAAGACGUUCCCAAAGUACUUCUGGCUCAGCAGGUGAAAAUAUCCCAAAAAAAGUAAGAUCUGAAGACUCAGCAGGGGUGGAAAUCCUUGGUGGGAGCCCACAGACAACAUCCUUCUCUGGUCAUCAGCUACUUCUUCUUCUGGAAGAAACUCGGAAAGAACAACAAAAACCUUGGAGGAUCCUUUUUAGGUUUAUUCACUUGUCUGCUGUUACUUGCUGCAAAAACUGGGUGCAGUUCUGGGCUGCACAGUAUGAGAAGAAUAAAAAGCUGUUAGAGAGCAUCCAAAGGAGUGAAUGGGUAAGAGCUGAGCCCCAGCAAUUGUGAGCUCUUGGGUUUAAAACCCUCAAAAUCCUGGCACCAAAAUUCACCAGCUCCUUCUCCACUUUUUCCCAUAGGAACCCUGGCAAGAACCUGCUGGGCUCUGAAGUUCAC
rnacentral:lncRNA from 1 species